rnacentral:piRNA from 1 species
UGGUGACACCUUGGGCUUUGGGG